rnacentral:rRNA from 1 species
UAGCCUUUAGCAAUAUAAGUAUUAAAGGUCCUGCCUGCCCAGUGAAUAUUUUAAACGGCCGCGGUAUUCUAACCGUGCAAAGGUAGCGUAAUCACUUGUCUUCUAAAUAAAGACCAGUAUGAACGGCUAAAUGAGGACAAACCUGUCUCCUACAGUCAAUCAGUGAAACUGAUCUUCCAGUCCAAAAGCUGGAAUUCCAACACCAGACGAGAAGACCCUGUGGAGCUUUAAACCCACCUAGUAUCACACAACUAGCACAAAGUUUUAAGUUGGGGCGACUUCGGAAAAAAACAAAACUUCCGAGCACAGAACCAUAAAUUCAAACCUAAGGCACACAGGCCAAAGAAAAAAUUGACCCAGUCCACACUGACCAACGAACCAAGUUACCCCAGGGAUAACAGCGCCAUCCCCUUUAAGAGUCCAUAUCGACAAGGGGGUUUACGACCUCGAUGUUGGAUCAGGGCACCCCAAUGGUGCAACCGCUAUUAAAGGUUCGUUUGUUCAACGAUUAACAGCC